UCCAAGGUGGAUACCUGCCCUGUCCUGAUGU
rnacentral:piRNA from 1 species